AGCAUGUUUGGAAAAAAUCAACAUGCAAGGAAAGGAGCAGUUUUAAACAAGAUUAGUGAAAAAUCUGGAAUUACACGAAGAAAAGGAUUGUUUGCUUUAUGUCAUUAGAGAUUGCCAGAGUACCUCAAGUUUUGGGCCUAUAUUGUUGCAGAAUAUGUAUUCUGUACCUGAAUAAUGGAAUUAAUUACAGUCACGAUAAGAAGAUCUCUGUUUUCUUUCUUGAUAAUCGCAUGCAAUUAGUGACAUAAAGAUCUGGAAAACUGCCAGAAUUGUAGUAACAAAAUAAACCUAAUUUCUUACAUAAUUUCCUGACUAGCACUUUCCCAGGCCACAGUAACCCUGUAUAUAGAUCUGAAAACAUUAUCAACAGUUUUACAGAACAAAGCCCACUACAGUUUUAGUAUCUGAGAAAGGAUGAAGUGAUUAAAGUCAAAGUCUGAGGAUACAGUGUCAGAGGAAUGGUCAGAAGGGACAUGUGUUCCUAGAUGUUUCUAUAGGACUGUUACAGUGUUCUCUGUGUGUCUGACUGAAAGAAUUUCAAAUUUGGUACUAACUCUUUGCCAUUAGCAAUUGCUGGCUCUUUCUAUUGGACUUUUAGUGAGACUGAUAAGAUAAAAUAGUGAGCUUUGCAUGCAGAUGGAAAGGAACUUGUUUUGUAACAGAUUGAGUUUUAGGAGUAGGGUGUGGGCAGAAGAAGAUAUGCAUUGCUGGUUUUAGUCUCAGACAUGUGGUCAGAUCCUUUUGUUUGAACCUCCCCACAUUCUUCAGGAUGUGAGUGGGAGUAUUCUCCCAUACAUGAAAACCUGAAACAACUCCUGUGACUUCUCUUACAGUGAGACUCUGAUAUUACUGGUUUCUAAGAAAAGAAUUUUAAGUUUAUGUUUAGGUAGGACAGACAUGGAGGUCUAAAAACACAUGGUGAAGUACACAGGGCUUCUGAAAUCUUCUGGUGAAAGAACUGUGGUGUGAACCACGGCCUGCAAGCUGCAGAAAGGUGAGUAAAGGUGACAAGUUAAGGCUCCAGAUUGGUAGGAGUUGUGUGCUGUGCCUUUAGCUUUCUAAUGGAAUGCUUGUGAAGUCAGGAAAAUGAAACUUCUUCCAUUUAAUGGUGUUUCUCUUUAAUGGGAGCAGUGGUCAUAGAUGCAAGAGAGAAUACAAGAGCCAGGUGUGGCUUUCCUUGCCAGGCAUGUGCACUGCUCUGUGUGGACACCAGCAUUUGUGAGAGGGACACCCAGCUCCUUGGAUCUGGCAUGAGCAGUUCUGUCAGCUGCUCAUUCCGUUUCUCCCCUUUGGUAAGGACAAUAAUUUUUGUCAAGAAUUUUGAACUCCUAUAAACCUGGGAAGGCCUACCUUUUUUACUAUUAUUGUUUUGGGUUUUUUUUUCAUUUCAGUUACUUCUGUUCUCUUAUGGGCUAUAGAGUUUACUGUGUUUGUUUCCAACCUCUGUUCCACAGGGCAAGAAGUCACACCAUGACUCUUGGUGCAGGGAUGCAGAUUUUCUGGUACAAUGUAAUAUCUGGUAGGAAAUAGAACUCUUUCCACAGCAUAAAUUCUUAGGAACAUGGAAAGUAUAGUGAAUAUAGAAAUAUGAGCAUCAAGGUGCCCAUUCAGCCCUCAUGCAAUUAUGAGGGAAGGAAAUAGAGCCCACUGAAUGUGUCUUGAGUGCCUUCUUAUUCAUGUUAAAGCUCUGCCUUUACUAUUUAUGUGUAAGUUGCCUAAUAAUUUAUGCCCAGGUGUCUUCACAGCACUACCAGCAAUCUUUUCACCAGGAUUUAGGCAAGGUCAGGAAUGCAUUAAUGGAUGACAAUAUCUUCUAUUGUGAUAGGCAAAUUUUUACCCUCUGCAACUAAAACACAAACCUUCAGAGGGAGAGAGGAAGCAAAAGUGAAUAGUCCAGUUGAGGCAACAGUUUGCUGCUCUUAUCUUUGGGGGCUUUAUUCCAAUUGUGAAUUUAGGCUAAUAUACCUGUUGCUUAAAAAAAAACAACCUCAAUCACCUUCUCAACCAAAUUUCAGUAAUGAGAGUGGAUGUAUUAAUUUCUCUUUCUUUCAAGUUCAGACAAACUGUUGACACAUCACGGUUCAGUUGUAAUACAGUUACAACUUGGCUGAACAAAGGGAAAUAUUUUUUUUCUACUUGACUGCUUAGCACACAAACUUAGAAUGAUUGGCAAAGCUGGAAAAAAAAAAGGUCUUUUAGAGCAGCUUGUUAAGUAAAGAAGCAAGAGUUUUACUUUACAUUUCCUUAACGGACAAGGUGGGGGAAAUCCCUUCCUAUUGUUAGCAUGACAUGAGAUCUUGUGUUUGAAGACUUGCAGAAAGAUCUCUCAUGUGAUGACUAAUCUCACUUGUCUUUGCUGUUUUUCUAUCACCGUAACUGUGAUGUUUGAGGACAGCUGGUGUCCUUAGAGCUAAAGACAUCCUAUGUUUGUUUGUUCCAUAUAAGUCUACAGACUGAGCCAGCAAGGAUGGCAGUGAAGCUAAACUUGGAGCAGAGUCUCAUUCCUGAUGAACUGAGAACAGUUGGACUUUCAAGUUCUGCACUGAUUUGGAAAUGUUACAUCCCCAAGCCCAGAUAUUUCUCUGAUCCAAGAGGGGUCCUCAGAGGAGGGAAGAAAUCUUAAUGAGAUUUAGUGCCUAGUCUGGCUUUGCAGCUGCUUCUGUUUCGGCUUUAUGAGGUGACAAGCCGAACUGUCCAACAAAACAUCACUGAGUUGUCACUUCUGCCCAUGGCAGACGCCUGAAAA